rnacentral:rRNA from 1 species
GGGUUGUGAGGUUAAGCGACUAAGCGUACACGGUGGAUGCCCUGGCAGUCAGAGGCGAUGAAGGACGUGCUAAUCUGCGAAAAGCGUCGGUAAGGUGAUAUGAACCGUUACAGCCGGCGAUGUCCGAAUGGGGAAACCCAGUGCAAUUCGUUGCACUAUCGUUAACUGAAUACAUAGGUUAACGAGGCGAACCGGGGGAACUGAAACAUCUAAGUACCCCGAGGAAAAGAAAUCAACCGAGAUUCCCCAGUAGCGGCGAGCGAACGGGGAGCAGCCCAGAGUCUGAAUCAGCUUGUGUGUUAGUGGAACGGUCUGGAAAGUCCGACGGUACAGGGUGAUAGUCCCGUACACCAAAAUGCACAGGUUGUGAACUCGAAGAGUAGGGCGGGACACGUGGUAUCCUGUCUGAAUAUGGGGACCAUCCUCCAAGGCUAAAUACUCCUGACUGACCGAUAGUGAACCAGUACCGUGAGGGAAAGGCGAAAAGAACCCCGGCGAGGGGAGUGAAAAAGAACCUGAAACCGUGUACGUACAAGCAGUGGGAGCACCUUCGGGUGUGACUGCGUACCUUUUGUAUAAUGGGUCAGCGACUUAUAUUCUGUAGCAAGGUUAACCGUAUAGGGGAGCCGCAGGGAAACCGAGUCUUAACUGGGCGUUAAGUUGCAGGGUAUAGACCCGAAACCCGGUGAUCAGCCAUGGGCAGGUUGAAGGUUGGGUAACACUAACUGGAGGACCGAACCGACUAAUGUUGAAAAAUUAGCGGAUGACUUGUGGCUGGGGUGAAAGGCCAAUCAAACCGGGAGAUAGCUGGUUCUCCCGAAAGCUAUUUAGGUAGCGCCUCGUGAACUCAUCUUCGGGGUAGAGCACUGUUUCGGCUAGGGGGUCAUCCCGACUUACCAACCCGAUGCAAACUACGAAUACCGAAGAAUGUUAUCACGGGAGACACACGGCGGGUGCUAACGUCCGUCGUGAAGAGGGAAACAACCCAGACCGCCAGCUAAGGUCCCAAAGUCAUGGUUAAGUGGGAAACGAUGUGGGAAGGCACAGACAGCCGUGAUGUUGGCUUAGAAGCAGCCAUCAUUUAAAGAAAGCGUAAUAGCUCACUGGUCGAGUCGGCCUGCGCGGAAGAUGUAACGGGGCUAAACCAUGCACCGAAGCUGCGGCAGCGACACUAUGUGUUGUUGGGUAGGGGAGCGUUCUGUAAGCCUGCGAAGGUGUGCUGUGAGGCAUGCUGGAGGUAUCAGAAGUGCGAAUGCUGACAUAAGUAACGAUAAAGCGGGUGAAAAGCCCGCUCGCCGGAAGACCAAGGGUUCCUGUCCAACGUUAAUCGGGGCAGGGUGAGUCGACCCUAAGGCGAGGCCGAAAGGCGUAGUCGAUGGGAAACAGGUUAAUAUUCCUGUACUUGGUGUUACUGCGAAGGGGACGGAGAAGGCUAUGUUAGCCGGGCGACGGUUGUCCCGGUUUAAGCAUGUAGGCUGGUUAUCCAGGCAAAUCCGGAUAAUCAAGGCUGAGGUGUGAUGACGAGGCACUACGGUGCUGAAGUAACAAAUGCCCUGCUUCCAGGAAAAGCCUCUAAGCAUCAGGUAACAUCAAAUCGUACCCCAAACCGACACAGGUGGUCAGGUAGAGAAUACCAAGGCGCUUGAGAGAACUCGGGUGAAGGAACUAGGCAAAAUGGUGCCGUAACUUCGGGAGAAGGCACGCUGGUGUGUAGGUGAAGUCCCUGCGGAUGGAGCUGAGACCAGUCGAAGAUACCAGCUGGCUGCAACUGUUUAUUAAAAACACAGCACUGUGCAAACACGAAAGUGGACGUAUACGGUGUGACGCCUGCCCGGUGCCGGAAGGUUAAUUGAUGGGGUUAUCCGUAAGGAGAAGCUCUUGAUCGAAGCCCCGGUAAACGGCGGCCGUAACUAUAACGGUCCUAAGGUAGCGAAAUUCCUUGUCGGGUAAGUUCCGACCUGCACGAAUGGCGUAAUGAUGGCCAGGCUGUCUCCACCCGAGACUCAGUGAAAUUGAACUCGCUGUGAAGAUGCAGUGUACCCGCGGCAAGACGGAAAGACCCCGUGAACCUUUACUAUAGCUUGACACUGAACAUUGAGCCUUGAUGUGUAGGAUAGGUGGGAGGCUUUGAAGCGUGGACGCCAGUCUGCGUGGAGCCAACCUUGAAAUACCACCCUUUAAUGUUUGAUGUUCUAACGUUGGCCCCUGACCGGGGUUGCGGACAGUGUCUGGUGGGUAGUUUGACUGGGGCGGUCUCCUCCCAAAGCGUAACGGAGGAGCACGAAGGUUAGCUAAUCUGGUCGGACAUCAGGAGGUUAGUGCAAUGGCAUAAGCUAGCUUGACUGCGAGCGUGACGGCGCGAGCAGGUGCGAAAGCAGGUCAUAGUGAUCCGGUGGUUCUGAAUGGAAGGGCCAUCGCUCAACGGAUAAAAGGUACUCCGGGGAUAACAGGCUGAUACCGCCCAAGAGUUCAUAUCGACGGCGGUGUUUGGCACCUCGAUGUCGGCUCAUCACAUCCCGGGCUGAAGUAGGUCCCAAGGGUAUGGCUGUUCGCCAUUUAAAGUGGUACGCGAGCUGGGUUUAGAACGUCGUGAGACAGUUCGGUCCCUAUCUGCCGUGGGCGCUGGAGAAUUGAGGGGGGCUGCUCCUAGUACGAGAGGACCGGAGUGGACGCAUCACUGGUGUUCGGGUUGUCAUGCCAAUGGCACUGCCCGGUAGCUAAAUGCGGAAGAGAUAAGUGCUGAAAGCAUCUAAGCACGAAACUUGCCCCGAGAUGAGUUCUCCUGAGACUAUAAGUCUCCUGAAGGAACGUUAAAGACGAUGACGUUGAUAGGCCGGGUGUGUAAGCGCAGCGAUGCGUUGAGCUAACCGGUACUAAUGAACCGUGAGGCUUAACCUUACAACGCCGAAG